AUGGUUAUUCGACCGCUCAAAUGCGAUCUGUAGAUGGAUUUCAAUAAAGUUUGUAUCAUUGCAACCAUAAUGUAGAUUUGACAGCGUAUGAUAGUAUUUGAGCAUGUUUGAUGUCACUUUGGAUAGCCUCUUGGACUAGGCUUAGGUAUCCCUCAGAUAUUCUUUUGAUCAAAUACUCAAUUUGAAGUUUAGAGUGCACGUUUCUGUUUGACCAUGUUUGGCUUUGAUUCGAUUAGUGUACUUAUGUUCCAUGUCUGAGUCUGCAAAUAGUUUUCAAUUGCAUUAUCGAAUCGACAAUCUAGGUUUGACAGCAUAUGAUCCUGUUUGAGCAUGCCUGACGUAACUUGAAAAUAAAAUGAGGAACUCCAGAUCGAUAUUCGACUGUCGCGGAGGAAAUUGCGUGACCUUCGUAUAAAAAUGACUGGAAAUACACGGUUCGAUUUUCGUGCCGGGUGAAAAGUAGCUUUAGUCGGUCAGUAGCACGUUUGGCUAGAGAAUAUCCGAACGAGGGGCAUGAUGCAUGGUUGACGUACGAGUCGUAAAUCUGCGGUAUAACUCUUAAUCCACUCUUGGUUUAAUUGCAUCAGAUAAGAAAACAGUCGUUGAACCUCCGUGGCUCCUCGCAACUGGCAUAAACGGAGGAAAGAUUUUCACCCAUAAUUUCCAGGUUGCCGUCAGUUUCGCGAAACAACCAACUCGUUGGACGUGUUCGGCUGGUAACGCAAAUGCUAAUUCCGUGCAACGAGACAUGAAUCAUUUGGAAAGCAAAAUAUAAAUAUUCCGUUGAGUGAGCAUUCGGUGUUCCUAGUCUUGUUAGAUUUCCGGUUGAUGGCUCGUCCUAUCGGAGUUGCCAAACUGGUUCAAGAUAAUGCGGUAAGCUUUGGUGUUGACACAUAUUUUGCAGACACCUGUUGAUUAAAUGCAACAUGUGUUCCUUGACUCUGUUGAUAAGACCCGAAGACAUCUUAAAAUUGUAGAAUUUAGAUCGUAUGCUAGAUUUCAGUCGAUGGUUUCUUAGUUAAAGUAGCGAUGUAGAUCACUUGAAUCUGGUACAUUCUAGCAUUCUAUCUACAUUUACUUAAAGACACAAGCGUGUCCCACUUAUCCCUACUAAUGGCACUUCUAAAAAAAAUCCCUAAAAUAACAGUCAUAGAAUCACCAACGUCCCACUUCUGUCGGCUGACCCGCCUAGCCUGUUUCCUCUGUCCUUACCAAUUUGGCCUCGCGAGUGCUCCCCGUCACUCACAAUAAUUAUAAACCGAAUCUCCAAAAUUGCAGUCGUUGAACUUUCCAUGUCCCACUUCUGUCAGACGUCCUCUCGACAACGUCGCCCGGUGGACAGCGAAUUAGCCCCAGCGUUCUCCUCUCGGAGUCUACGAAUUCCGGUAGCGCUGAUCAACAUCGGUUCCCAGUGUCAAAGCAGCUGGAUUUUCGCUUGGUACAACCACGGGGCCACGGAAGAUGUAUGCGUGUACCCGUAGGCUGGUACCUGCCGCCGACACGACAUCCUAACGGAUCGUGUCUGAGUUCACCGCUGCCCUCCGAGGACUCUGACUCCCUGGUGCUCCUGCCAUCGCUGCCUAAAUUGCUGCGGACCCUUUCCAACGAGGUGACCCUGGCCAAAUUGUCUGUAUGUGACGCCAGUGCCUUCAGCUGACCCCCCAAUAAUUCAGCUGUCUCGACAGAGUCGCACCUGAAGUCAGAGAGGUGGGCGCUUUUAGGAAAAAAAAAAAACGUGUAUCGAUAAUUAUCGUUGGCCCCGGGGCGUUCGAAUUACCACAGCGGAUAUUUCAAUGGCGACCAUCAGGGACCCAAUUACGAAUUCGGAUGGGACGCUCAUUAUAAACACACUGGUUCGUCGAAUCGAAGAAAAACACACGACGAAAGAAGGAAACGUUAUGUUUAUAUUUUUCCAACGACAGAAAAAUGGAUAUAAAAAGAAGAUUAAGCUUCAUUUACACGUUGUUUAGCAUUCAUGAGUAUAAUGGUGACAUUAAUUGCUCGUUGCGGCGAGAAGGGGCUGCCCUGGAAAGGGAAAAUUACGAUCGUUUAAAUGCCAUAAAAAUACAACCGUUCGACCGUCUCGAUUAAAUAACGAUUAAGAUUACUAUGUAGUGAAAAAUGUAGCGGGAAAGUGUUACUCGGCGUUUCUUUUUUAAAGUAUGCAAAAGAACGUACCAUGAAGUCAACUGUUUACAAAAGUCAUUGCAUAAUAUUUGUUGAAAGGAUUUUUCAAAUAAAACGAGAUUUGUGUAUUCGACAUGGACAAUAAAAUUCUGUCGGAAUUUCAAUUAGACGCAACAUUUAUAAUCGUAGCAAAUGAAAAUUACAACUUUCAAAUCUCUCGCUUUCAUCGCUCCAAACGGAAGCAAUUAAAUCUGAAUUUCUUUAGCUUCGCUGAGUUUAUCACUCUAUCAUAGCGCAAUCUGGGGUUUUCAAUCCUGUAAAAGGCAUUUAAACUUUUCACUGUUAUCUCACGGAACAAUUACAGUAAUUGUAACUAGAGUCGAAAGUUAACAAUUACUGGCAUUCUUCGUCAAUUGUUAUGGAAAUAUAAUGUAUAGGAUCUUACUAUAUUUCCUAA